AUGUUAGAUGGGAGCAAACAGAAGCAACAGGAAGAGGCCUUUGCCUCCCCUGCGCGGGCGGGUGUGGUGUGUUGCCCUGCCCGUGUCCCUCGCGUCCCUCGCGUCCGGCCCGCAGCUGGUGCAUUUGCGCAGAUGGGGCCGCAGGGCGGUGGGGACACGUGUGCACCCGCCUUCACAGCGGUGUCCCCCGCAGCGGGAAGGGGUCUGCGGGCCAAGUGGACACGGGAUCCAUCGGUGGCGCAACCUCACAACGUGGCUCAGCCCAGGAAGGGUGUUCUGACCCCCGCCGCAGUGUGGACGGGCCUGGAGGACGUGGGCCAGACCCGGACGCCGCAGGAUUGCCCUACACAAGUUCCUAGCUCUCUGGACCUCGCGCAGCAACACAUGUGCCUAAUGCCCGAGCUGUGUGCUCGAUUGGGCCGGGCUGGGGAGGGUUCUGCGGAUUUGACCACGACAGAGAUCUGCACGCGGUGCACGCAUCCCACCCCAGACACCGGGCCCACGUGGCAUCAUGAUGGUAUCUCGAGUUGCAAACGCUUGGAAACAGCUCGGCCCCAGGGGGGACCGACGAGGGCGGCGGGUGGCGGCAGGACUUCUAGGCAGAGACGGUGGAGCUCUGCGCCCUGCACACGUUCUCUAGAACAUCAGGGGGACCUGCUCAGGUUUAGGGCACAAGCCACAGAAUGGGGAGAUGGGGGAGAGGGAGUGGACAGCCAAGGGCGGCAGGUGACCCAACGAGCCCGAGGGGUGGCCCUGGUGCAGCAGGGCAGGUGGGCUGGACGCUGGACUUCAGGGCCACUGCCCUGCUCCGCAGCCCCCUGCCCCCUGGGCCCAGCUCUGGCAGGUGGCUGUGGGCGGGGUCCGGAGGGCAUCCCUGGGCCGGGACGUCAGGGCCGCUCGGCAUGUUUUCGCUCUAAGUGGUUCUCUGGACCUGCCUGGGCCUGCUGUGUGGGGACACAGCCGGGGAGUGCCACUCAAGGAGGUGGGUACCGGGAAGAGAAGGGAAGGGCAUGCCUCCGACACGGCAGCCCCAUGGGGCCUUGCCCCCCGCCCAGCGCCUCCCGCUUGCCCACAGCUGAAGUCCUCAGCUGGGGUAGGCUCGGGCAGCUGUGGGCCGCGGAGGAGGAAAUCUGGCCUCCCCAGUCUGGUCUGGGCCCCACAGAUGGGGCGUUCACGGCAGGGAUGGAGAGACACCCGCAGGCCAGAGACCCGAGCCCGGGAGCGAGGUGCCCCGUGCGCCCAAGUCCAGCCCUGCGGGGUGGCCCAGGCCUGGGGCUGGGAGUCCACCUAGGGUCAGGGCCCAGGCUCCCUGUUCCUCCCUGGAAGCCUGGUGGGGCGGUGGGGGCCCGGCCCUGCGUGGGCCCUGCUCUCCCAGCCCCGAGCAGGCGAGGACACCAGCCCGGCCGUUACACAACACAGUUUAUUUCAGACUCGGCCUGUGCUCAGGCCCGGGGUCCCAGCGGCCGGCUGGCCAGGCUCCCCCUGUGCCCGCUGCCACCACGCCGAGGGCUGCACGGCGCAGUGUCCCUGCAGGCCCAGCGGGCCGGUGCCCAUGGGUGCCGGGCCCCCUCCAAGCAGCUCUACUCUACAGGUUAUUGCAUGUAUACGCUAGUGAGACUCAAAGGGCGCAGUGGGGGGGAGGCUGGGCAGCCCUCUGCUGCCCCGGGGGCACAAGCUGGGCCCUGCUGGGGCGCAGGUGAUGGGCGAGGGGCAUGGAAGCUCGGCUGCUGCGUGGCCUUGGCUCAGUCGCCCGGCGCCGGGCCUACCCACGUGGACCCCCGGCCCAGCUACAAACAAAGAGCAGAAAUGGGGAGAGUGAAACAGCCAUACCCUUUAAUGUCCCCACACGGGCUGGGCCUGUGCCCUGGGGACCCGUCCGCACCCCGCUGCCAGGGAGUGCACAGGACCACCGGGGCCUCUCUCGGGCCGGCUGGCACUCGGAAGCGUGUCCAGUGGGGACACGGCUGCAGCUGGCGGGCAGGCAGGCCACACCGGAGGGCCGCUGCCCCCACCGCCCCCGGACCACGGCCCCAGCCGGGACAUCUGCCCGGGUCGGGGAGGGGAAGUGCUGGGGGCCGCGAGGGGGCUUGCUUUCCAUUGCGGGGGGCCGGUCCGUGUCGGUGCCUGCGCGUGUGUGGGGGCUGCGCGUAUAUGUGUUACACAGGUAGGGACGUCUAG
ensembl:lncRNA